rnacentral:rRNA from 1 species
CCUACGGGAGGCAGCAGUGAGGAAUAUUGGUCAAUGGACGCAAGUCUGAACCAGCCAUGCCGCGUGCAGGAAGACGGCUCUAUGAGUUGUAAACUGCUUUUGUACGAGGGAAAACGCAGAUACGCGUAUCUGUCUGAAAGUAUCGUACGAAUAAGGCUCGGCUAACUCCGGGCCAGCAGCCGCGGUAAUACGGAGGGUUCAAGCGUUAUCCGGAUUUAUUGGGUUUAAGGGGUGCGUAGGCGGUCGGAUAAGUUAGAUGUGAAAUCCCGAGGCUCAACUUCGGAAUUGCCUCUGAUACUGUUCGGCUAGAGUGUAGUUGCGGUAAGCGGAAUGUAUGGUGUAGCGGUGAAAUGCUUAGAGAUCA